rnacentral:misc_RNA from 1 species
GAUGAAGAACGUAGCGAAAUGCGAUAAGUAGUGUGAAUUGCAGAAUUCAGUGAAUCAUCGAAUCUUUGAACGCACAUUGCGCCCCUUGGUAUCCCGAGGGGCAUGCCUGUUCGAGCGUCAUUUCACCACUCAAGCCUGGCUUGGUGUUGGGCGACGUCCCCUUUGGGGACGCGCCUCGAAACGCUCGGCGGCGUGGCACCGGCUUUAAGCGUAGCAGAAUCUUUCGCUUUGGAAGUCGGGGCCCCGUCUGCCGGAAGACCUACUCGCAAGGUUGACCUCGGAUCAGGCAGGGAUACCCGCUGAACUUAAGCAUAUCAAUAACGGAGGA